UCUUAACUCACGUUGAUUUUCAGCCCACACACAACUCACACACACUAACACCUAAAACACACACACCAUUCACGCAUAUACCAUUUUUUAGCUUGAGCUCAAGCUUUUGAGCUCCGAUUUGAGCACCGAGAUGAACGCCGAUCAUCUUUUCGAUCACGUAUCUAAGUAGGUCCUUUUGGGAAGUAACGACUUGAGGGAGAGAGUGACGUUACUCAUUGAUACAGAGACACAACGAGGUCCUUUUGGGAAGUAACGACUUGAGGGAGAGAGUGACGUUACUCAUUGAUACAGAGACACAACGAGGUUGAGCUGAUGUGAUGAUGGUGCUGCAAUGAGCGGAGUCUCCAGGGUUGUUAAUAAAUAGUUAACUUGUCUAGAAUAUGUCUUCAUACAUAUGUCUAGCUACUUUCCGCUGCAAGAUGUUGUUGAUGUUAUAGUAUGUUAUGUCAUACUUUGAGUUUUAAGAGAAUGGUUUCAUAUGAUGUAUAACUUGAUUAAUGAUAUUAAUUAAGUUUUAUGCUGU